GAUGAACGCUGGCGGCGUGCCUAAUACAUGCAAGUCGAGCGAACGGACGAGAAGCUUGCUUCUCUGAUGUUAGCGGCGGACGGGUGAGUAACACGUGGAUAACCUACCUAUAAGACUGGGAUAACUUCGGGAAACCGUAGCUAAUACCGGAUAAUAUUUUGAACCGCAUGGUUCAAAAGUGAAAGACGGUCUUGCUGUCACUUAUAGAUGGAUCCGCGCUGCAUUAGCUAGUUGGUAAGGUAACGGCUUACCAAGGCAACGAUGCAUAGCCGACCUGAGAGGUUCAUCGGCCACACUGGAACUGAGACACGGUCCAGACUCCUACGGGAGGCAGCAGUAGGGAAUCUUCCGCAAUGGGCGAAAGCCUGACGGAUCAACGCCGCGUGAGUGAUGAAGGUCUUCGGAUCGUAAAACUCUGUUAUUAGGGAAGAACAUAUGUGUAAGUAACUGUGCACAUCUUGACGGUACCUAAUCAGAAAGCCACGGCUAACUUCGUG
rnacentral:rRNA from 1 species